rnacentral:lncRNA from 1 species
AUUUGUAUUUAUUGAGGUGUUAAUUCUGUCUCUUUUCAUGAUCCUCUAAUCUCCUGUAGGUGUAUGCCAGGGAGUGGUCGUCACACAGAUUCCGAAUUUGUUGUUAGUGAUGGAGGGAUCGCCGGCAAAUAUGACUUGUAGCCAAGAUGCCAACAAUGUAAACAUGUUCUGGUACCAACAGAAACCAGGAGAAGGACUAAAGCUUAUGAUCUGGUCAAUGCAAGCUGAUAAAAAGCAGACAAUGGAAUCAGACUUUCAAUCAGGCUGGGAGCUAGAGAGGAAUGACAUUGAGAAUUCAGUUCUACACCUUGAAUCUGCCAGAAUACAGAACUCGGCUGUGUAUUUCUGUGCAUCGAGUGCCACA